rnacentral:rRNA from 1 species
CCUACGGGGGGCAUCAGUAGGGAAUUUUCUUCAAUUUUCUCCCUCCUGAACGAGCGAUGCCGCGUGAGUGAAGAAGGCCUUCGGGUCGUAAAGCUCUGUUGCGGGGGAAAAAAGGCAGCAUCAGGAAAUGGGUGCUGACUGAUGGUGCCCCGCCAGAAAGUCACGGCUAACUACGUGCCAGCAGCCGCGGUAAUACGUAGGUGGCGAGCGUUAUCCGGAAUGAUUGGGCGUAAAGGGUGCGCAGGCGGUCCUGCAAGUCUGGAGUGAAACGCAUGAGCUCAACUCAUGC